ACUUGCAUAGAAGGACAUCUUGAAAUCUCAUUCAUUGAAAUUGCCGAAGCACUUCCCUCUCCUGCCAUCGCAUUAACCAGACCAAAACAUUGGACAAAAUCCCUUCCAUCCAAACAUCCGUAUGUACACUUCAAAUACGCUUCUACUGUAGUCCAAUUCUAUCUUAAAGCGAUUGGUUUUUCAGCUUUUGUCGGUUGAAAAAUGGAGCCGGCGCCUAAUGGCGAAGAACCCACUUCGUGGGAUGAGUUAUACAACAUAAAUUUCAUGCCAUCUGAGUUGUUCCUCAAGUUUAGAAAAGAAAUUCAGGGAUUUCGAGUUGGUGUUAAUUUGGAGUUCUACAAUGCACCAACCAAUGAUUUCCAGACAAAGCUUGUGCUGAAGCCGUUAUCACCUGAGCGGAGGUGGAAGUUUGCUUACGAGCCUAUACAUCAAGAUAUACGCCUUCUUUCGAAAAAGAUACCUGUGACCAAAUUUCUUAAUCUCCAGGUUGGCAUGGGCUAUAAUUUCAAGUUGAAUGCAACUGGUUGGAAAUGGAAGCUCACAACCUGUUUGGGUGGAGAUGGAGUUUCUCGCAUUCGGAAUAAGACAACACUUGGCUUGGUUCCUGGCCUUGAUUUUCGAUUUGGGUGGAGGGCUGAUUAUGUUCUUCCAGAAAUUACAGGACAUGAUGUUGCACUUAUGUGUAGCUUUUUGAAUUUAACAGGGCUCUUGGUACCGAUGAACCAUUGUUCAACAUGAACUCAGGGCGGUUGCAAGCAUCACUAGACAGAGUUGAGGCCAUUCUGACUCAUUCAUCAUGAUUGGUUGUCAGAACAUCAGGUUCAGCUUGAAUUGAAAUUGAUAGGAUGAUUUUUCCAUGCAUGGAAUGGAGGUACAUUGAUCAACACCUACUUUACUUGUUAAACACCAAUGUAGUGGCUCUUUUGUAAAGCAUUAAGUAGCCAUGGCAUGAAUGAAUCAGGUUUUCAAAUUAAAUAUUUCCCUGACAUUAAAGCAAAUUCAUGUAUGAAAUUUGCUUCAUUAUAGUGGUAAUUUUAGUUGCAGUUCUUUUUCUUUUCUUCUCUUUCUCCACUUUCCUUUUAUAUGUUAAUCACGUCCAUCUACAAGUCCCUUGGUGAAAUUACUGGUAAGUCAGGUUAUUUUUUAUUGUUGAAAUUGAUCACAUGUUUACAAUAGCGCUUGGUGGUGUAACAAUAUCAGAUGGUUUUUAUUUAUUGGAUACUUUGAACAUUUUGAUUUGUCAU